CGAGGUAAGGAGAAGUAUAAAGGAAGUACAAAGGGUUUUGAUCCCUUAAGUGUAGGUUCAAUUCCUAUCUCUUUAG
rnacentral:tRNA from 1 species